rnacentral:rRNA from 1 species
AUUGAACGCUGGCGGCAGGCCUAACACAUGCAAGUCGAACGGUAACAGGAAGCAGCUUGCUGCUUUGCUGACGAGUGGCGGACGGGUGAGUAAUGUCUGGGAAACUGCCUGAUGGAGGGGGAUAACUACUGGAAACGGUAGCUAAUACCGCAUAACGUCGCAAGACCAAAGAGGGGGACCUUCGGGCCUCUUGCCAUCGGAUGUGCCCAGAUGGGAUUAGCUAGUAGGUGGGGUAACGGCUCACCUAGGCGACGAUCCCUAGCUGGUCUGAGAGGAUGACCAGCCACACUGGAACUGAGACACGGUCCAGACUCCUACGGGAGGCAGCAGUGGGGAAUAUUGCACAAUGGGCGCAAGCCUGAUGCAGCCAUGCCGCGUGUAUGAAGAAGGCCUUCGGGUUGUAAAGUACUUUCAGCGGGGAGGAAGGGAGUAAAGUUGAUACCUUUGCUCAUUGACGUUACCCGCAGAAGAAGCACCGGCUAACUCCGUG